GUCUUUAACGGAUUUGUUUAGAGUUUUUUUGGUGAGAAUCAAUCAGUGGUUAAACACACAAGAUUGUCCCCCGAGCGCUCAAUAUUCAUGGUCGAGUGAUUUUCCAUGCACUUUACUGUUAGCUACAUUUGCGUGAAGUUUGUGAGAGGGAUGUGACGGAAACGAAAGUAUGGGAGGUUUGGAAUUGUUUCUUUGAUUUUAGUACGUCGAAGAACUAAAUAUCAAUCAAAAAUUUGGCAUAUGAGGUCUAACCAAGUAUUGGCACGGAUGAUUGACGUGUGAUAUGUAAAAAUGAUGGCCAUGUUGAUGACAAUGUUGUUGUUUAUGGUAAUGUUGAUGAGGACGUCCAUGGGUGUAACAAUGAUGAUGAAAUGACGUUGUUCAAGGUAGUGAGCAUCAGACUAUUGUUCGAUUGAUGGUAAAAACAAUGUUUAUUGAUCAUGGAGCAGACGUAAAGCAAGAAAUGGCGGGAAGAAUCCUAGCAGACGACAGUUGUCGCGCAGAUGCAAUCAUGCAACAUAUCAGACUGCCCGAAUUUACAGGCUGGCCUAGCUCUAUACUGGUAAGGGUUUUGAAAAAGGAAACCAUAACUUUGUAAUGUAUGUCUUGUUUACUUUUUGAAAAAUAAACUUUCG